CAAGCGGUGGAUGAUGUGGAUUAUUUCGAUGCAACGCGAAAAACCUUACCUGGUCUUGACAUGUAGCGAAUCCUGCAGAGACGCAGGAGUGCCCGAAAGGGAGCGCUAACACAGGUGCUGCAUGGCUGUCGUCAGCUCGUGUCGUGAGAUGUUGGGUUAAGUCCCGCAACGAGCGCAACCCUUGCCAUUAGUUGCCAUCAUUAAGUUGGGCACUUUAAUGGGACUGCCGGUGACAAACCGGAGGAAGGUGGGGAUGACGUCAAGUCCUCAUGGCCCUUAUGACCAGGGCUUCACACGUCAUACAAUGGUCGGUACAGAGGGUUGCCAAGCCGCGAGGUGGAGCUAAUCUCAUAAAACCGAUCGUAGUCCGGAUCGCAGUCUGCAACUCGACUGCGUGAAGUCGGAAUCGCUAGUAAUCGCGGAUCAGCAUGUCGCGGUGAAUACGUUCCCGGGCCUUGUACACACCGCCCGUCACA
rnacentral:rRNA from 1 species